AUUAUGGCUCAGAACGAACGCUGGCGGCGUGCUUAACACAUGCAAGUCGAACGCGAAAGGGACUUCGGUCCUGAGUAAAGUGGCGCACGGGUGAGUAACGCGUAGAUAACCUGUCUUCAUGUCUGGAAUAAUACGCCGAAAGGGGUACUAAUACCGGAUAUUUUUUGCUUUUUCAUAAGUUAUGCAAGCAAAGGUGGCCUCUGCAUAUGCUACUGCAUGAAGAGGGGUCUGCGUACCAUUAGCUAGUAGGUGGGGUAAUGGCCUACCUAGGCGACGAUGGUUAGCGGGUCUGAGAGGAUGAUCCGCCACACUGGCACUGGAACACGGGCCAGACUCCUACGGGAGGCAGCAGUGAGGAAUAUUGCGCAAUGGGGGAAACCCUGACGCAGCGACGCCGCGUGAAGUGAGGAAGGCCUUCGGGUCGUAAAGCUCUGUCAAGAGGAAAGAAGUGUACAAUGGCUAAUACCUGUUGUAUUUGACGGUACCUCUAAAGGAAGCACCGGCUAACUCCGUGCCAGCAGCGGC
rnacentral:rRNA from 1 species